rnacentral:tRNA from 2 species
GUGGGCGUAGCUCAGUUGGUAGAGCACAGGAUUGUGGCUCCUGGUGUCGUGGGUUCGAUCCCCAUCGUCCACC